rnacentral:piRNA from 1 species
GCUAAGAGUAAGGUCGCUCCGCUUCGGA